rnacentral:lncRNA from 1 species
GAAACUAGGCGAAGCUCAUCAUCGAUCCUCGAAACGUCCGCUACCUUCCCCUUCCUCAUCUCCUCUUCCUAAUGGCAAACGAUCAAAGGUGGGUUCGCCUUCUAUUUUGGUUAGGGCUUAUCUAAAUUCUUACAAAUUUCUAUAUUUAUGUACAUGUGCAUGAAUGGAUUUUUGUGAUUGGUUUGAGUUUGAUUGGUUCUGUUCGGUGCGCCAGGCGGCUGAGUCUUCGUCCUCAACUAACGACACGUCGCCGCCUGAAACCCUAGGUUCGGCGAAGGAUUUCGGUGGGGAAUCAAGAGAGCAGGAGGUUCGAUCAUCUGAUCCGUAUGUUGUUUUUUCAAAGUCAAUAUUAGGGGAUAAAGCAACCACUCAUUGAUCUUCGCAUUCUCGAUCCCAUUUUAUCUGACCCUUCUACCAUUUUGACCCGUGAAAAGGCCAUUGUUAUCAUUUAGAGGUACUGGAACUGAAAUAAAUAGGUUUCUUUUAAAUUUUUGUUGUGCAAAUAUCUGUCAUGUUUUCAUCUGCACCUAUCCGUGUCCCAUGCAUAUAUCUAAGCAAUAAUGUCAACUUUAAUAGAUCCUAAAUACCCUCUUUUUUGCCGGCCCUACCAGAAUACGCUUUGCUUCCGCAAACAGCUUGAAUUCGAAUUCUUAUUAAGUUUUCAUUGUUAUACUAACAAGAAAAUCCAAUUUUGUUCUUUUUAUUCUAUAAUAUCAAUAUCUCAAUGUAAGGGUGGGUUUGAUUCUGUGAUCACAAUGUGUCUAAGCAUGGGGUAGCUUGAAGAAGCUAAGAGUUUGUCUCAUGGAGCAGGUGAGAAAAAAUUGUUGUCUUAGGCGGGUCUUGUCUUAGCAAGUUAGUAAAUUAAAGAAUGGUUAUAUUUAUUGGAUUUCUUAGCAUGGUUGAGUCAAACUUAUUAUUAGUUAUGGUUGGUGUGCAAUAAUUUUGAAUUUUUAGACUUUAAGUUCUAUUUAUAUUAUGUGUGAACUUGGGAAAGAGUGAUGGAAAGGAAAAGAAAAUGAAAGUUAAUUUUUUAAAGAUUUAUCAACAAUUCUACACAUUAAAUUUUAAGAUCUAUACUUGAUAUUAGGUUAUCAGAUGUAGAUAUCAAUAUAUCAUUAGACUAAUUAUAUCCAUUAGGAGGUUUUUUCAGUGUUCUAAAAAUUCCCGCUUAGGUUUGUCUAGGCCCCGCCUAGGCGCUAGACCCCCCAUGGCUCCCCUCCUAGGUGCUAGGCCCCCUGGCGCUUCACCUAGGCGGCAAAAAUAUCCCUCCAGGAAAUUAGGAAGUGCCUAAGCGGAGAGAUGUUUUUUUUAUUUUAAUAACUACCCAAACCAGAUCUUGAUUUAUUUAUUUUUCUAAUGAUUUAUCAUAUUCAUAAUGCUGGUUGUAGCAUAUCAAAUUACAACAAGAAGUGAACAAUAUCAAGUCAAAAUGGAUAAUUUUAUUAUAGCUGUAAUUUUUUGAACUUGUACCAAGUUCAAAUUAUGUAAAUGAUGAUACAUUUGUAAUAUUUAGUUUAAUUUAAUAUAAUUCUUAAAUUUAUGUUUAGUUUCUUAUGUUUUAAUAUUGAAUUGAAUUCUUGAAAUUUUAUUAUUUAAUAACAAUCUUGUUUAUGAAUAAAACUAAUACGUAAAAGAUAUGUUUGAACUUUGAACAAUUGCAUGUUUGUGUUUGAACUUUGACAUUGACAAUAUGGAUGUGUUUGAAGUUUAAGCAAAUGUCAUUAUUAUCUUUAUUAUAGAUUAUUUUGUUUUAUAUUAUUGUUUUGUUUGGAUAAAUGUAAGAUAAAUUAUUAAAAUUGGCUUAAAAUAAAAAAUUUUACCUAGGCCCCGUACAUGCCCUGCAUAGGCCCCCCGGCCCGCCGUCUCCCGCCUUUUAGAACAUUGGGUUUUUCCCCUUGUAACAUUUCCUUUAGCCUGAGUCCUUAGUUUUGGCAUUGGUCAUCCUUGCUGAACUUGGAGGAAAGUUGUUAUUCCUAUUACUAGAAAAUAAUUUGAACCUGAUACUAAUAUAGAUAAUGAUCAUCAAAUGUGCCAAAGUGGAAAUUUUACAGAUGGUAAUGAUUUAAUAUAUUGGAACACCACAGUUUUUACAUGGUUCAGAUUUUUUUUGCAUACUACUUUGAAAUUUUGGAGGUAAAACAAUGAAAUAUUGACUAAAUGUACUCAGUGUUCUAAAAAUCUCCGCCUAGGUCCGCCUACGUGCUAGCCCCCCCGCCUAGGCGCUGGCCCCCUGGCGCCUCACCUAGGCCCAGUGUGGAAAAAAAAUUCCUCCAAGAAAUUAGGCGGGGUUUAGACAGAGAGGUUUUUUUUUUAUUUUAAUAACUAUCCAAACAGAUCUUGAUAUAUUUAUUUUUCUAAUGAUUUACCAUAUUCAUAAUACAUGUUGUAGCAUAUCAAAUCACAACAAAAAGUGAACAAUACAAGUCAAAAUGAAUAAUUUUACUAUAGUUGUAAUUUUUUGAAGAUCACCUUCAAAUUAUAUAAAUGAUACAUUUGUCAUAUUUAGUUUAAUUCAAUAUAAUUUAUAAAUUUAAGUUUAGUAUCUUAAGUUUUAAUAUUGAAUUAAAUUCUUGAAAUUUUAAAUUUUAUUAUUUAAUAGCAAUCUUUUUUAUGAAUAAAACUAAUACGUUAAAAAUAUGUUUGAACUUUGAACAAUUGCGUGUUUGUGUUUGAACUUUGACAUUAACAAUAUGGAUAUGUGUUUGAACUUUAAGCAAAUGUCUUUAUUAUCUUUAUUAUAGAUUUUAUUUUAUAUUAUUGUUUUAUUUGGAUAAAUGUAAGAUAAAAUAUUAAAAUUGACUUAAAAUAAAAAAUUCCGUCUAGGCUCCGCCCAGGCCCCCCUCGGCCUCCCGCCUUUUAGAACAUUGAAUGUACUAAAUUGUAGCUAACAAAACAAUCAAUAUCAAGAAAUUGACUAACAUAAAGCAAUUCAUUACCCUCAGCUAAAACUUAGAUAAAUUUGAUAUACUUGAUAACGUAAAGCAAUUCAUUAAAAUGUGAUUUUUUUUUUAAGUUGUUUUUUUUAAAAAAUUGUGAGAUGUGUUUCUAUUUAACUUUUUUAUGUUGGAUUUUUUUUUGGGUGUGAAAAUAGGGAUUUUAAAUGAUCAAUUUUUGCAGGUUUAGAGAUUGUGCGAUGAUCGCAACCCAAAUUUUGUGAACAAAGUGGUGACCCUCUUCUUUGAAGUUCUGAGAAUCUUCUCCUCCACUUGAACAUUGCUCUGUGAGGGUUUUUUAGCUUCUUUAUGGUUUGUUUAGCAAUUAUGUGUUGUAGUAAUCGUUGUUAUUGUUCAAAUUUUGAAUGUGAUAAAGUUUUGUAGUUUCAGUUUAUUAUAGCAAAAUCAGAAACAACAGGAGUUCAUUGUAGCUACCAUUACUGAGCUAUCCCCAUUCUUUUUCUUCAACUCCGUCUCUGCCUGUUGUGGCUCGAUUAUGCUCCGAAUCUGGAUUCCCGGCUCUCCGAUUUGAUCAAGAUGGUUCUCAACUUCACUACUUCGAGCUUCAGCUAUCUUAGGUUAAUUUUCCAUUUUUAAACUCACUUAAUUAUAUAUACUUUACUUUGAAGAGUUGCAUUUAUGUUGUUUAGUGGGAUUUUGUUUUUCGUAAAUAGUUGUAGAGUUAUGAGAAACUUUUCCUUCAGUUGAACAUUGCUCUAUGAGGGUUCUUUAGCUUCUUUAUGGAUUGUUUAGAAAUUCAAUGUUGCGGUAAUGGUUGUUAUUGUUCUCAAUGAAUGUGAUGAAGUUUUGUAG